rnacentral:rRNA from 1 species
AGUAACACGUGGGCAAUCUGCCCUGCACUCUGGGACAAGCCCUGGAAACGGGGUCUAAUACCGGAUAAUACCUUCCCUCGCAUGGGGGUGGGUUCAAAGCUCCGGCGGUGCAGGAUGAGCCCGCGGCCUAUCAGCUUGUUGGUGAGGUAGUGGCUCACCAAGGCGACGACGGGUAGCCGGCCUGAGAGGGCGACCGGCCACACUGGGACUGAGACACGGCCCAGACUCCUACGGGAGGCAGCAGUGGGGAAUAUUGCACAAUGGGCGAAAGCCUGAUGCAGCGACGCCGCGUGAGGGAUGACGGCCUUCGGGUUGUAAACCUCUUUCAGCAGGGAAGAAGCGAAAGUGACGGUACCUGCAGAAGAAGCGCCGGCUAACUACGUGCCAGCAGCCGCGGUAAUACGUAGGGCGCAAGCGUUGUCCGGAAUUAUUGGGCGUAAAGAGCUCGUAGGCGGUUUGUCGCGUCGGAUGUGAAAGCCCGGGGCUUAACCCCGGGUCUGCAUUCGAUACGGGCAGACUAGAGUGUGGUAGGGGAGAUCGGAAUUCCUGGUGUAGCGGUGAAAUGCGCAGAUAUCAGGAGGAACACCGGUGGCGAAGGCGGAUCUCUGGGCCAUUACUGACGCUGAGGAGCGAAAGCGUGGGGAGCGAACAGGAUUAGAUACCCUGGUAGUCCACGCCGUAAACGGUGGGAACUAGGUGUUGGCGACAUUCCACGUCGUCGGUGCCGCAGCUAACGCAUUAAGUUCCCCGC